rnacentral:rRNA from 1 species
AUCUCGGCCAUACCACCCUGAAUGCGCCUGGGCUUCUCUGAUCUUGGAAGCUAAGCAGGGCUGGGCCUGGUUAGUACUUGGAUGGCAGAUUGCCUGGGAAUAAUGGGUGCUGCAGGCU